rnacentral:ncRNA from 1 species
UGUCUAUGAAGAUGAAGACUACUCGUAUCUAGAUAGAAAGCCCUAUGAAACUUUACUGUUCCCUAGGAUUGGUUUUGGGCUUUUCCUGCGUAGUUUAGGUGGAAGGCGAAGAAGGCCUCCUUCCGGGGGGCCCGAGCCAUCAGUGAGAUACUACUCUGGAAGAGCUAGAAUUCUAACCUUGUAUCAGGACCUACGGGCCAAAUGACAAUCUCAGGUAGAUAGUUUCUAUGGGGCGUAGGACUUCCAAAAGGUAACGGAGGCAUGCAAAGGUUUCCUUGGGCCAGACGAAGAUUGGUCCUUAAGUGCAAAGGCAGAAGAAAGCUUGACUGCAAGACCCACCUAUUGAACAGGGACGAAAGUCAGCCUUAGUGAUCUGAUGGUGCUGAGUGGAAGGGCCAUCGCUCAAUAGAUAAAACUUACUCUAGGGAUAACAGGCUGAUCUUCCCCAAGAGCUCACAUCGACAGGAAGGUUUGGCACCUUCUUGUUGGCUCUUUGCCACUUAGGGCUGUAGUAUGUUCCAAGAGUUAGGUUGUUCACCCAUUAAAGUGGUACAUGAGCUGGGUUCACAACGUCGUGAGAUGGGUCGGUCCAUAUCCAAUAUGGGCAUUAGAGCGUUGAGAGGACUUUCCUUAGUACGAGAGGACCGGGAAGGACUGGGGUACCAGUUAUCGUGCCCACGGUAAACGCUAGGUAGCCAAGUGUAGAGCGGAUAACUGCUGAAAGCAUCUAAGUUGUAAGCCCACCCCAAUAUGAGUGCUCUUGUAUUCUGACUUCCCUAGAGCAUCCAGUUACACAGCCGAGACGGUAAGGGGUUCUUUAUCCCUACGGGGAUCGAGUGACAGAAGUUUUGAGAAUUUAAAAGAAGGUCACUGUGAGACGAGCCAUUUAUCAUUACGAUAGGUGUCAAGUAGAAGUGCAGUGAUGUAUGCAGCUGAGGCAUCCUAACAGACCGA